UGGGGAAUAUUGCACAAUGGGCGCAAGCCUGAUGCAGCCAUGCCGCGUGUAUGAAGAAGGCCUUCGGGUUGUAAAGUACUUUCAGCGGGGAGGAAGGUGUUGAGGUCAUAAUACCUCAGCAAUUGACGUUACCCGCAGAAGAAGCACCGGCUAACUCCGUGCCAGCAGCCGCGGUAAUACGGAGGGUGCAAGCGUUAAUCGGAAUUACUGGGCGUAAAGCGCACGCAGGCGGUCUGUCAAGUCGGAUGUGAAAUCCCCGGGCUCAACCUGGGAACUGCAUUCGAAACUGGCAGGCUGGAGUCUUGUAGAGGGGGGUAGAAUUCCAGGUGUAGCGGUGAAAUGCGUAGAGAUCUGGAGGAAUACCGGUGGCGAAGGCGGCCCCCUGGACAAAGACUGACGCUCAGGUGCGAAAGCGUGGGGAGCAAACA
rnacentral:rRNA from 1 species